rnacentral:ncRNA from 2 species
CGGCUCUUCCUAUCAUUGUGA